ACGCUGNGCGGCGUUGUGAUAANGACAUGCAAGUGGGACGCUAAUCAAUGGGUAGCAAUAUUCGUUGGUUGGAGUCGCGUAAGGGUGCGUAACACGUGGGUAAUUUGCCGUGAAGCUUGGAAUAACUUGCCGAAAGGUAAGCUAAUACCGAAUGUGACUUGUGCUGGGCAUCCAGUAUCAGUCAAAGCCGGGGAUCGUAAGACCUGGCACUUCAUGAUAAGCCCGCGGCCUAUCAGCUAGUUGGUGAGGUAACGGCUCACCAAGGCUUAGACGGGUAGCUGGUCUUAGAGGACGACCAGCCACACUGGAACUGAGACACGGUCCAGACACCUACGGGUGGCAGCAGUCGAGAAUUUUUCACAAUGGGCGAAAGCCUGAUGGAGCGACGCCGCGUGGGGGAUGAAUGGCUUCGGCCCGUAAACCCCUGUCAUUCGGGAUCAAAUCUGACAACCUAACACGUUGUUAGUUGAUAGUACUGAAAGAGGAAGGGACGGCUAACUCUGUGCCAGCAGCCGCGGUAAUACAGAGGUCCCAAGCGUUGUUCGGAUUUACUGGGCGUAAAGGGAGCGUAGGUGGCAGAUUAAGUCUGACGUGAAAGCUCUGAGCUUAACUCAGAAAUGGCGUUAGAUACUAGUUUGCUUGAGGAUUGGAGGGGAGAUUGGAAUUCUCGGUGUAGCANUGAAAUGCGUAAAUUUCGAGAGGAACACNANUGGCGAAGGCNAAUCUCUGGACAUUCCUGANCUGAUGCUCGAAGCUAGGGGAGCAACGGGAUNAAUACCCGGUAGUCUAGCUGUNAACGGUGCACCUUGCUGUAGGUGGA
rnacentral:rRNA from 1 species